rnacentral:rRNA from 1 species
UACCCGCGGUCCAAGUCGCAGCCAUCUUUAUUGGGUCUAAAAUAUCCGUAGCUUGCCGAAUAAGUUCCUUGUGAAAUCCUAUGUCUUGAGCAUAGGGCGCGCAGGGAGUACUGUUCGGCUAGAGACUGGAAGACGUAGAAAGUACGAUCAAAGUAGUGGUAAAAUACUUUAAUCUUGGUCGGACUCACAAUAGCGAAGGCAUUCUACGAGGACAGUUCUGACAGUGAGGGAUGAAGGCCAGGGGCGCAAA